GGCCUACACAUGCAAGUCGAGCGGUAACAGAAAGUAGCUUGCUACUUUGCUGACGAGCGGCGGACGGGUGAGUAAUGCUUGGGAACAUGCCUUGAGGUGGGGGACAACAGUUGGAAACGACUGCUAAUACCGCAUAAUGUCUACGGACCAAAGGGGGCUUCGGCUCUCGCCUUUAGAUUGGCCCAAGUGGGAUUAGCUAGUUGGUGAGGUAAUGGCUCACCAAGGCGACGAUCCCUAGCUGGUUUGAGAGGAUGAUCAGCCACACUGGGACUGAGACACGGCCCAGACUCCUACGGGAGGCAGCAGUGGGGAAUAUUGCACAAUGGGCGCAAGCCUGAUGCAGCCAUGCCGCGUGUGUGAAGAAGGCCUUCGGGUUGUAAAGCACUUUCAGUCAGGAGGAAAGGUUAGUAGUUAAUACCUGCUAGCUGUGACGUUACUGACAGAAGAAGCACCGGCUAACUCCGUGCCAGCAGCCGCGGUAAUACGGAGGGUGCGAGCGUUAAUCGGAAUUACUGGGCGUAAAGCGUACGCAGGCGGUUUGUUAAGCGAGAUGUGAAAGCCCCGGGCUCAACCUGGGAACUGCAUUUCGAACUGGCAAACUAGAGUGUGAUAGAGGGUGGUAGAAUUUCAGGUGUAGCGGUGAAAUGCGUAGAGAUCUGAAGGAAUACCGAUGGCGAAGGCAGCCACCUGGGUCAACACUGACGCUCAUGUACGAAAGCGUGGGGAGCAAACGGGAUUAGAUACCCCGGUAGUCCACGCCGUAAACGAUGUCUACUAGAAGCUCGGAGCCUCGGUUCUGUUUUUCAAAGCUAACGCAUUAAGUAGACCGCCUGGGGAGUACGGCCGCAAGGUUAAAACUCAAAUGAAUUGACGGGGGCCCGCACAAGCGGUGGAGCAUGU
rnacentral:rRNA from 1 species